AGUUGACCUCGGAUCAGGUAGGAAUACCUGCUGCAACUGAUCCAUCCGCAUUUCGGCAGGGAGAGAAAA
rnacentral:rRNA from 1 species